AACGAACGCUGGCGGCAUGCCUAACACAUGCAAGUCGAACGAGGCCUUCGGGUCUAGUGGCGCACGGGUGCGUAACGCGUGGGAACCUGCCCUUAGGUUCGGAAUAACUCCCCGAAAGGGGUGCUAAUACCGGAUAAUGUCUUCGGACCAAAGAUUUAUCGCCUUUGGAUGGGCCCGCGUUGGAUUAGCUAGUUGGUAGGGUAAAAGCCUACCAAGGCGACGAUCCAUAGCUGGUCUGAGAGGAUGAUCAGCCACACUGGGACUGAGACACGGCCCAGACUCCUACGGGAGGCAGCAGUGGGGAAUAUUGGACAAUGGGCGAAAGCCUGAUCCAGCAAUGCCGCGUGAGUGAUGAAGGCCUUAGGGUUGUAAAGCUCUUUUACCCGGGAUGACAAUGACAGUACCGGGAGAAUAAGCUCCGGCUAACUCCGUG
rnacentral:rRNA from 1 species